GUGCUCGCUUCGGCAGCACAUAUACUAAAACUGGAACGAUACGGAGAAGAUUAGCAUGGCCCUGUGCAAGGAUGACACGCAAAUUCGUGAAGCGUUCCAUAAUUUU
rnacentral:snRNA from 1 species